AGGAUGAACGCUGGCGGCGUGCCUAAUACAUGCAAGUCGAGCGGAAAGGCCUCUUCGGAGGUACUCGAGCGGCGGACGGCUGAGUAACGCGUAGGAACGUACCCCAAACUGAGGGAUAAGCACCAGAAAUGGUGUCUAAUACCGCAUGUGCUCUAAGGAGUAAAGCUUCGGCGGUUUGGGAACGGCCUGCGUAUGAUUAGCUUGUUGGUGAGGUAACGGCUCACCAAGGCGACGAUCAUUAGCUGGUCUGAGAGGAUGAUCAGCCAGACUGGGACUGAGAACGGCCCAGACUCCUACGGGAGGCAGCAGUAGGGAAUUUUCCACAAUGGGCGAAAGCCUGAUGGAGCAACGCCGCGUGCAGGAUGAAUGCCUUAGGGUUGUAAACUGCUUUUAUAUGUGACGAUUAUGACGGUAGCAUAUGAAUAAGGAUCGGCUAACUCCGUGCCAGCAGCCGC
rnacentral:rRNA from 1 species